rnacentral:sRNA from 1 species
CAGAUCAUUAUCGCCAUCCCCAGCAUGGCGGUAUAGGACAGCAUUUUGCAUCUCAACCCGCCCUGGAAGGCGGGUUUU